rnacentral:rRNA from 1 species
AGAGUUUGAUCCUGGCUCAGGACGAACGCUGGCGGCGUGCCUAAUACAUGCAAGUCGAGCGGACAGGUGGGAGCUUGCUCCCUGAUGUUAGCGGCGGACGGGUGAGUAACACGUGGGUAACCUGCCUGUAAGACUGGGAUAACUCCGGGAAACCGGGGCUAAUACCGGAUGGUUGUUUGAACCGCAUGGUUCAAACAUAAAAGGUGGCUUCGGCUACCACUUACAGAUGGACCCGCGGCGCAUUAGCUAGUUGGUGAGGUAACGGCUCACCAAGGCAACGAUGCGUAGCCGACCUGAGAGGGUGAUCGGCCACACUGGGACUGAGACACGGCCCAUACUCCUACGGGAGGCAGCAGUAGGGAAUCUUCCGCAAUGGACGAAAGUCUGACGGAGCAACGCCGCGUGAGUGAUGAAGGUUUUCGGAUCGUAAAGCUCUGUUGUUAGGGAAGAACAAGUACCGUUCGAACAGGGCGGUACCUUGACGGUACCUAACCAGAAAGCCACGGCUAACUACGUGCCAGCAGCCGCGGUAAUACGUAGGUGGCAAGCGUUUUCCGGAAUUAUUGGGCGUAAAGGGCUCGCAGGCGGUUUCUUAAGUCUGAUGUGAAAGCCCCCGGCUCAACCGGGGAGGGUCCUUGGAAACUGGGGAACUUGAGUGCAGAAGAGGAGAGUGGAAUUCCACGUGUAGCGGUGAAAUGCGUAGAGAUGUGGAGGAACACCAGUGGCGAAGGCGACUCUCUGGUCUGUAACUGACGCUGAGGAGCGAAAGCGUGGGGAGCGAACAGGAUUAGAUACCCUGGUAGUCCACGCCGUAAACGAUGAGUGCUAAGUGUUAGGGGGUUUCCGCCCCUUAGUGCUGCAGCUAACGCAUUAAGCAUUCCGCCUGGGGAGUACGGUCGCAAGACUGAGACUCAAAGGAAUUGACGGGGGCCCGCACAAGCGGUGGAGCAUGUGGUUUAAUUCGAAGCAACGCGAAGAACCUUACCAGGUCUUGACAUCCUCUGACAAUCCUAGAGAUAGGACGUCCCCUUCGGGGGCAGAGUGACAGGUGGUGCAUGGUUGUCGUCAGCUCGUGUCGUGAGAUGUUGGGUUAAGUCCCGCAACGAGCGCAACCCUUGAUCUUAGUUGCCAGCAUUCAGUUGGGCACUCUAAGGUGACUGCCGGUGACAAACCGGAGGAAGGUGGGGAUGACGUCAAAUCAUCAUGCCCCUUAUGACCUGGGCUACACACGUGCUACAAUGGACAGAACAAAGGGCAGCGAAACCGCGAGGUUAAGCCAAUCCCACAAAUCUGUUCUCAGUUCGGAUCGCAGUCUGCAACUUGACUGCGUGAAGCUGGAAUCGCUAGUAAUCGCGGAUCAGCAUGCCGCGGUGAAUACGUUCCCGGGCCUUGUACACACCGCCCGUCACACCACGAGAGUUUGUAACACCCGAAGUCGGUGAGGUAACCUUUUAGGAGCCAGCCGCCGAAGGUGGGACAGAUGAUUGGGGUGAAGUCGUAACAAGGU